AGCUAUAGCGAAGGGGUAACACUUGUUCCCAUCCCGAACACAAAAGUUAAGCCCUUCAGUCCGAUGGUACUAUGCUGGUAACGGUGUGGGAGAGUAGGUCACU
rnacentral:rRNA from 1 species